CAGUAGCCACGGGAAUACGAAGGGGGCUAGCGUUGCUCGGAAUGACUGGGCGUAAAGGGCGCGUAGGCGGAUAGUACAGUCAGAUGUGAAAUUCCUGGGCUCAACCUGGGGGCUGCAUUUGAUACGUGCUGUCUUGAGUUCGGAAGAGGGUCGUGGAAUUCCCAGUGUAGAGGUGAAAUUCGUAGAUAUUGGGAAGAACACCGGUGGCGAAGGCGGCGACCUGGUCCGAUACUGACGCUGAGGCGCGAAAGCGUGGGGAGCAAACAGGAUUAGAUACCCCCGUAGUCCCUGUCUCUUAUAC
rnacentral:rRNA from 1 species